CAAUAGCGUAUAUUAAAGUUGUUGCAGUUAAAAAGCUCGUAGUUGAAUUUCUGGUAGGAGUGACCGUUCCGAACUUGAUUGUUCGUGUAUUGUGUUUUCUCCAGCCAUCCUUGUGGAGAACUUUUCUUGCAUUAAUUUGUAGGGAUUGGGACCCGCAUCGUUUACUGUGAAAAAAUUAGAGUGUUUAAAGCAGGCAAUCGCUUGAAUACAUUAGCAUGGAAUAAUAAGAUAGGACUUUGGUACUAUUUUGUUGGUUUGCAUACCAAAUUAAUGAUCAACAGGAACAGUUUGAGGAUAUUCGUAUGAACAUGUCAGAGGUGAAAUUCUUGGAUUUUGAUCAGACGAACUACUGCGAAAGCAUUUAUCAAGGAUGUUUUCAUUAA
rnacentral:rRNA from 1 species